rnacentral:rRNA from 1 species
AUUGAACGCUGGCGGCAUGCCUAACACAUGCAAGUCGAACGGCAGCACAGUAAAGAUUUCGGUCUUUAUGGGUGGCGAGUGGCGGACGGGUGAGCAACGCGUAGGAAUCUGUCCUGGAGAGUGGGGAUAACCCGAGGAAACUCGGGCUAAUACCGCAUGAUAUCGAGAGAUCAAAAGCAGGGGACCCUUCGGGGCCUUGCGCUCUAGGAUGAGCCUACGUCGGAUUAGCUAGUUGGUGGGGUAAAGGCCUACCAAGGCGACGAUCCGUAGCUGGUCUGAGAGGAUGACCAGCCACACUGGGACUGAGACACGGCCCAGACUCCUACGGGAGGCAGCAGUGGGGAAUCUUGCGCAAUGGACGAAAGUCUGACGCAGCAACACCGCGUGGAGGAUGAAGGUCUUCGGAUUGUAAACUUCUGUUAAUCGGAAAGAAAGUGCAACAAUUAAUAUUUGUUGCAUAUGACGUUACCGGUUUAGAAAGCCACGGCUAACUUCGUGCCAGCAGCCGCAGUAA